UAUAGUCUCGUGGUGCGCCGUUUCUUAAGCCGGUCUGAAAAGCGCAAUAUUCGGGUGGGAGUGACCCGAUUUUCCAGGUGCGUCCGUCACCCCUUUCUUUGACUUGGAAAGGGAACUCCCUGACCCCUUGCGCUUCCCAGGUGAGGCAAUGCCUCGCCCUGCUUCGGCUCCCGCACGGUGCGCACACACACUGGCCUGCGCCCACUGUCUGGCACUCCCUAGUGAGAUGAACCCGGUACCUCAGAUGGAAAUGCAGAAAUCACCCGUCUUCUGCGUCGCUCACGCUGGGAGCUGUAGACCGGAGCUGUUCCUAUUCGGCCAUCUUGGCUCAAGACCCCAGUUUUGAUACAUUUAUAAGGCUAGCGACAAGUGGUACAACCUGUGAUGCUGGGCAGCAGCAGAGAACUACAGCUCCCAGUCAGCCACAUGAUCACAAGGAUAAACAACUGAUACUCUGCAGUGUGAUGUGCUGCCAGGUGAUUUUGCCCAAUUGUGGGCUAAGGGCUGCUGGAAUUUAUGAUCUCCUACCAAAACUGAAGUAACUGUAACUCUUACUAUGGGGAAC
rnacentral:lncRNA from 10 species